GCGCAGCGUGUAUUUGUUAAUAUCGACAUUUUGCGUUUGUCGAAUUCAUCCCGAAACUGCUCACAGACCAACAAAAAAUCUUCGAUUAGGAAUCGCUCAAGACAAUCUGGAAAUGAUCAAUAGUGAUGAAAACUUUCUUAAAAAGGACAUUACUGGUGAUGAAACAUGGGUUUAUGGUUAUGAUCCUGAAACUGUUGAGAAAGAGAGAUAAAGACACUGUUGAAACUAAUGCGACGAAUGCACUAAAGGCGAUUCCGAAGUCUGACUUUCAAGAGUGCUUUAAUAAGUGUAAACAUCGAUAUGAGCGCUUUGUUCAAUCAAAUGGGGACUACUUUGAAGGAUGCCACCCCCCGGACGACGAAAAAUAAAUCAAGCGUCGAGAGAUUGAGAAUUAAUAAGUUCACAACGUGAUCGUGCAAGGCCUACUAAUUUGGCGUUAUUAUUUCGUCAUUCCCAUGGUGUCCAUUUUCCUAAAACCGACGAAUUAAAUAAAGAAACUGUUCAUGGCUUCUCCAAAUUCGGCAGAAUCAGUGAGAAUCCGAUUAAUGAACCAGAAGAUAUAACUUACUUAACAAGGGGUAAAGUCAUCUUUGGAUAUGUGGUGCUAGUUGAUUCUCGUAUUAAGCCACUAGGUAAUCUGUUUAACGAACCAGAUUUGUGUGCUGUAUUUCACAAAAGACAGCAACGUUGGUAUACUCUGACUUCUGAUGAAUUAGAAAAAUUGGGAGUGACACGUAGUUUGCCACUAGUUAUGGCGCAUGAUGCGGCUCAUGAUGAGGCACAUGGUCACUAUCCACCAAAUCGAUCGGCACACCAUGAAGCAAGCCGAUCAGCAUACGCUAUAACAAGGGCUUACGAAGAAACUUUAGGCCACCUCGGCCAGCAAGAUGCAAUGGGUUCAGUCAUGAGAUGCUACCUUAGCAGAUAUAAUUUAGAAUACGCAAGUCAUGUAACAGGCCCAUCAAGACAACGCUGCACCUACCUUUAAAUAAAUCUCUGGUCUAUAGUGGUUAGCACGCUUGCGCUUAAACUUAAGCCAUGGAUUCGUGAAAUGGCUUGAUAAUUAAUAUUAACUCAUAAUAAUAACGAUUAAUAAAUUAAUAAUAAGAAGUACUAUAACCACGUUUUCCUGCGAUUUUCCUUGGGUGCUGCAGAAAAUUUUAAAUUUAGGAAAUUAAGUUAGCAACAAAAUAAUACUAGAACUAACAUUGUGUCAAGUCUCCUCUAUCUCCUUGAGAUAAAAAAAAUGAUUUCGUAGAAAAUCCAAAUAUUCUAUGUUCAGAAAUACGCUAUGAGUAAAUUUAUUUUAUAAAAAUAACAAUUGAUUCAAAUACAGAAAAUUCAGCAAAUGAAUGGCAGUUCUAUCCAUUGAUCAAGGCAAUUUGUUGUCUUAUGUUAUAAUU